rnacentral:rRNA from 1 species
GAUGAACGCUGGCGGCGUGCCUAAUACAUGCAAGUCGAGCGAACAGACGAGGAGCUUUCUCCUCUGACGUUAGCGGCUGACGGGUGAGUAACACGUGGAUAACCUACCUAUAAGACUGGGAUAACUUCGGGAAACCGGAUCUACUACCGGAUAAUAUAUUGAACCGCAUGGUUCAAUAGUGAAAGACGGUUUUGCUGUCACUUAUAGAUGGAUCCGCGCCGCAUUAGCUAGUUGGUAAGGUAACGGCUUACCAAGGCAACGAUGCGUAGCCGACCUGAGAGGGUGAUCGGCCACACUGGAACUGAGACACGGUCCAGACUCCUACGGGAGGCAGCAGUAGGGAAUCUUCCGCAAUGGGCGAAAGCCUGACGGAGCAACGCCGCGUGAGUGAUGAAGGUCUUCGGAUCGUAAAACUCUGUUAUUAGGGAAGAACAAAUGUGUAAGUAACUAUGCACGUCUUGACGGUACCUAAUCAGAAAGCCACGGCUAACUACGUG